rfam:Myotis davidii contig145071, whole genome shotgun sequence.
AUGGGGGGAGGGUGGGUCCCUCAGCCCGGAUAGCAAGAGGGUGCAGGCCAGGCCAAGGGACCUCACUGGUGCACA